AUAACGGCGCUGUGUUCCACUCUCUCUGGCCUUUCUCCGCUGCCUUUCCUGUUCGUCUCUGCUGCUGCGUCUACUUCUCUGCAAGCUCAUCCUCAAAAAAUGGCAAAACCUGAGACAGUGGAGAACGUGUGUGAAGCCGUCAAAAGCCAACUCUCACUUAAAGAUGGCGAGACAGUUUCGGCUGGGACCAAAUUUGUUGAUCUUGGUGCUGAUUCUCUUGACACGGUAACUUACAACCUGAGGAGACUUUAAAAUCUUCCAGAAGAAGAAAAAGAGCAAAGCAAGAUAAGAGAUGAUUGCUUAGAUUCUUAAAUCCCUUUGAAGACGUUGAAAAGAGAGAACUUUGAAUCUGGGAAAUUGUGUUAUUUAUUGGGAGAAGAGAGAGAGAGAUGUGGAGGA